rnacentral:tRNA from 1 species
UCCCAGGUGGCUCAGUGGUAGAGCAUCCACCUGCCAAGGCAGAAGAUGCGGGAGACCCGGGUUCGAUCCCUGGGUCGGGAA